rnacentral:rRNA from 1 species
AACGCGAAGAACCUUACCCGGGCUUGAAUGCGGACGAAUAACGUGGAAACAUGUUAGCUAGCAAUAGCGUCUGUGUAGGUGCUGCAUGGUUGUCGUCAGCUCGUGCCGUGAGGUGUCGACUUAAGUGCCAUAACGAGCGCAACCCACAUUAUUAGUUACUAACAGGUCGAGCUGAGGACUCUAAUAAGACUGCCGGCGUAAGCUGUGAGGAAGGUGUGGAUGACGUCAAAUCAGCACGGCCCUUACGUCCGGGGCGACACACGUGUUACAAUGGGUGGUACAAAGGGCAGCUACUGUGCGAGCAGAUGCUAAUCUCCAAAGCCGCUCCCAGUUUGGAUCGGAGUCUGCAACUCGACUCCGUGAAGCUGGAUUCGCUAGUAAUCGCGCAUCAGCCAUGGCGCGGUGAAUACGUUCCCGGGUCUUGUACACACCG